rnacentral:lncRNA from 1 species
GGCAGAACAAAAUCUCUCUUAGUUAGAGGCUGAAAUCCAAGGGACUUCGAUUUAUUCCAAUUUUCAAGUAGAAGAUUUUAUUUUACUCAGGAGAACAUGGCUACCGACAACGUCCCAGGGCUGAAGAGAAACGUCAACCAAGAAGAUACCAAUAUGAACCCUUUUUAAUAGAGAGAGAUGGAGAAGGAGAAACCUCAGAGACUUGCCUUCUGACUUUAUUUUUCCCCCCAAAAGAGAUGGGCUUAUUUUCUGCAAGAAAAGAGGCUUAGAAGGCAUUUUUAAAAGGAGCCAAUAUUAAAGUUUUGUGAAAGUUUUUCUAGGGAAGGAGAGUUAUUGAUGGUAGGAUGGUGUGGCAUGUUCGGUAUAGAUGAUAGAAGUGAGGGUGUGUUAGGGCCCAGGUAAAGGCAGGACACCAUGUGUGUUUAGUGGGCUGACUUUCUCCUCGUUUGCUUUUCAUCAGCAAUGGUCAAUAACUCCUGUGUGUCAGAUGGUUACUAGAGGAGGAUGUUAGACAGCUGCUAGGUGAGCCCAGCAUCUUUACAUGAACAACCCAAGGGGACACUGCAAGUUUAUUCAACCUUAUCUGUGUUAGAGUAUCUUCAUGGCCACACGGUAGGUUGUGAGAUGGACAUAUAAAGUUUUAGUAAAAUCACUUUUCAGAUUUCCUUGUAGAUAUGUCUAACCCUUAACUUCCAAGGAAAAGCAACAUUUUAAAAAAUAAGUCAGGCCUUCUUAGUAAAUAUGUGUUGAAUUACUAAUUUUAUAAAUUGAACUCACAAAGAAAUAACAUUUGAUUUAUAAAUAUGGGUAUGUGUGGUUAUUUCAUCCUUGGAGAAACUUCAGGAGCGACCCUUUGCUCUUUAUAAAUCCACUGACUCAGGCAGAGUCAUAGGCAACAGAAAGAAGCCCACAUUCUUGCCUCACUAGUUCAUUAGUUUUUAAGCAAGAUAUUUAAAAAUUACCUCUAGCACACUAAAAAGUACUGUCUUGCC